rnacentral:ribozyme from 1 species
UAAACAGGGAAUUGUUACCUGGGGCUGUCCGUUCUACCGUGAGAUGAGUGCACGAGGGGUCCCAAGACUGCUUCAAUCGGCCGAAUUGCGUAAGACCGACGGCAAGGUACAUCUUUGAGAGUCUUGUCGCACAGGGACGUGCAAAUCCGGAGAAUGGGGUGGAACUCCUCUGAAAUCCGGUAAGCUUCAUAGAGCGGGAAGCCCAAACAGAAUGAAACACGCUGGCAGUUGUCGAGCUGGUGGUAUAUUAUUUCUGA